UCCGUAGGCGGACUAAUAAGUCAGGGGUGAAAUCCAACAGCUUAACUGUUGAACUGCCUUUGAUACUGUUAGUCUUGAAUUAUAUGGAAGUAGAUAGAAUGUGUAGUGUAGCCGUGAAAUGCUUAGAGAUUACACAGAAUACCGAUUGCGAAGGCAGUCUACUACGCAUAUAUUGACGCUAAUGGACGAAAGCGUGGGGAGCGAACAGGAUUAGAUACCCUGGUAGUCC
rnacentral:rRNA from 1 species